rnacentral:rRNA from 1 species
CCUACGGGUGGCAGCAGUCGAGAAUCAUUCACAAUGGGGGAAACCCUGAUGGUGCGACGCCGCGUGGGGGAAUGAAGGUCUUCGGAUUGUAAACCCCUGUCAUGUGGGAGCAAAUUAAAAAAAUAGUACCACAAGAGGAAGAGACGGCUAACUAGGUGCCAGCAGCCGCGGUAAUACAGAGGUCUCAAGCGUUGUUCGGAAUCACUGGGCGUAAAGGGUGCGGAGGAUGGUUCGUAAGUCGUGUGUGAAAGGCGCGGGCUCAACCCGCGGACGGCACAUGAUACUGGGAGACGAGAGUAAGGGAGGGGGAACCGGAAUUCUCGGUGUAGCAGUGAAAUGCGUAGAUAUCGAGAAGAACACUGGUGGCGAAGGCGGGUUCCUGGACAUUAACUGACGCUGAGGCACGAAGGCCAGGGGAGCGAAAGGGAUUAGAUACCCCAGUAGUC